UUCUCUACAAAUUUUGUUUAAAAACUUUUUUUAUACGGUGAACCGUUUUCGAGAUAGAGGGCGGAGAGCGCGCGGUCACUGCAUCACUUCAGCAGGGCUAAGAUGCGCGCCGUGAUAAACUGCUAUCGCGGCGUUAUAUCGAUUUUGACGUCACUAUAUCGUUUUAUCUACCGGCGCUAACAUGGCACCCCGAAAAUUAUCAUGUCAUCUGUCAAAAUGUGAUAGUGAUAGAUUUGUUUUUUUUUUUGUGAUAAACCUGGCAAGCCCUAACAUGAAGCGCUAACUAUAUCAUAUUUUGACAUCACGAUAGGAUAGGAUGUGGUGUUUUUAUCGUCCUCGAUCCUUGCCCACGAUAGCAAGACGAUAGGAGAUUAACUUUUUUGCAAGCUACUUUAACUCUAUUUAUUUAUCAUUUAUAAUGGUAAAUGACAUUUUACGACUAAUUUGAGGCUAGUAAAAUUCAAAGAAAGGAAUCUAGCACCUUUGUGAUACUUUUACUUCUAGGUGGAGAUUGAGUUCUAGUUCAAGAGUUUAUCAGUGUGAGGCGAAUCUUGCGACAGUUUAUAAUCGCUAGCUGCAAAAUCUUAGUGCUCCCACAGUCCCACCCACAUAUUAAUUAUUACAUUACCUACCUUGUAAAAUAACCAUUACUUACCUACUUAGGUAGGCAGUCAACAGUACAUCAGACAAUACAUAUUAAGUUGCAAAUGUCGUGAGAUACCCCACAGUGUUUAGCUUGAUUUAAGUACCUACUGUCAUCUGUACAUAAUCUUGUAAAAUUAUUGAAAAUGGGGCGGAAUGUGGCCGAGCUUCUUGUGUCUACAUCAAACAGUGGCAAGGUCAUUGUCAGAAAUUAGCAUUGGGUGGGAUGUGUAAUCAAACUUGCUAUAAUAACAAUGAGAAUAAAUGAAUUUUACUAAUUUUAUAA